CUGUGGAAUGAGGGAGAGCUGUGUGUACACAGGGAAUGCUUGCUAUGUGUUCAGGUCCUGUGGAAUGAGGGAGAGCUGUGUGUACACAGGGAAUGCUUGCUAUGUGUUCAGGUCCUGUGGGAUGAGGGAGAGCUGUGUGUACACAGGGAAUGCUUGCUAUGUGUUCAGGUCCUGUGGAAUUAGGGAGAGCUGUGUGUACACUAGGAAUGCUUGCUAUGUGUUCAGGUCCUGUGGAAUUAGGGAGAGCUGUGUGUACACAGGGAAUGCUUGCUAUGCGUUCAGGUCCUGUGGGAUGAGGGAGAGCUGUGUGUACACAGGGAAUGCUUGCUAUGUGUUCAGGUCCUGUGGAAUGAGGGAAAGCUCUGUGUAUACAGGGAACACUUGCUGUGUGCUCAGGUCCUGUGGGAUGAAGCACCUCUUACAAUGAUUUCACUACACAUUAUUGAGGGGGGAGCAAAGGUCAGCAGGCUGCUUGAGGUGGGACACAAGCAGAGAAGGUGGAACAGCUUGCUACAUAGUGUGAAGAUGGAUCUUUUCCCACACUAACACUGCAGACAACCUAGAC